rnacentral:rRNA from 1 species
GGCGAACGGGUGAGUAACACGUGAGUAACCUGCCCUUGACUUUGGGAUAACUUCAGGAAACUGGGGCUAAUACCGGAUAGGAGCUCCUGCUGCAUGAUGGGGGUUGGAAAGUUUCGGCGGUUGGGGAUGGACUCGCGGCUUAUCAGCUUGUUGGUGGGGUAGUGGCUUACCAAGGCUUUGACGGGUAGCCGGCCUGAGAGGGUGACCGGCCACAUUGGGACUGAGAUACGGCCCAG